AGCUUUGCGCAGUGGCAGUAUCGUAGCCAAUGAGGUUUAUCCGAGGCGCGAUUAUUGCUAAUUGAUUAAACAACAUUAACUAUAUGGUAAAAGUUACCCCUCAACUCAAAUUUCGGUGCAUUUUUUCCAUAUAUGUUUAAAACUGUUGAGGGCC
ensembl:snRNA U4 U4 spliceosomal RNA